rnacentral:rRNA from 1 species
ACGGAAGGCAGCAGUGGGGAAUAUUGCACAAUGGGCGAAAGCCUGAUGCAGCGACGCCGCGUGAGUGAAGAAGUAUCUCGGUAUGUAAAGCUCUAUCAGCAGGGAAGAAAAUGACGGUACCUGACUAAGAAGCCCCGGCUAACUACGUGCCAGCAGCCGCGGUAAUACGUAGGGGGCAAGCGUUAUCCGGAUUUACUGGGUGUAAAGGGAGCGUAGACGGUUUGGCAAGUCUGAAGUGAAAUGCGGGGGCUCAACUCCUGAACUGCUUUGGAAACUGUCGAACUAGAGUGCAGGAGAGGUAAGUGGAAUUCCUAGUGUAGCGGUGAAAUGCGUAGAUAUUAGGAGGAACACCAGUGGCGAAGGCGGCUUACUGGACUGUAACUGACGUUGAGGCUCGAAAGCGUGGGGAGCAAACAGGAUUAGAUACCCUGAUA